UACGUAGGCGGCGAGCGUUGUUCGGAGUUACUGGGCGUAAAGGGUGCGUAGGCGGUUGUUUAAGUUUGGUGUGAAAUCUCCCGGCUCAACUGGGAGGGUGCGCCGAAUACUGAAUGACUAGAGUGCGGGAGAGGAGAGUGGAAUUCCUGGUGUAGCGGUGAAAUGCGUAGAUAUCAGGAGGAACACCGGUGGUGUAGACGGCUCUCUGGACCGUAACUGACGCUGAGGCACGAAAGCGUGGGUAGCAAACAGG
rnacentral:rRNA from 1 species